AUCUAAGCGGGAAGCCUGCUCUAAGAUUAGCAUUCCUUACACUUUUGUGUGUGAACCCCCAUGUAGAACACGUGGUUGAUAGGCUGGAUGUGGAAGCCCUGUGAGGGGUGGAGCUGACCAGUACUAAUGGGUGAUUGU
rnacentral:rRNA from 1 species